CCUACGGGAGGCAGCAGUGGGGAAUUUUGGACAAUGGGCGAAAGCCUGAUCCAGCAAUGCCGCGUGAGUGAAGAAGGCCUUCGGGUUGUAAAGCUCUUUUGUCAGGGAAGAAACGGUGAAAGCUAAUAUCUUUUGCUAAUGACGGUACCUGAAGAAUAAGCACCGGCUAACUACGUGCCAGCAGCCGCGGUAAUACGUAGGGUGCAAGCGUUAAUCGGAAUUACUGGGCGUAAAGCGUGCGCAGGCGGUUUUGUAAGUCUGAUGUGAAAUCCCCGGGCUCAACCUGGGAAUUGCAUUGGAGACUGCAAGGCUAGAAUCUGACAGAGGGGGGUAGAAUUCCACGUGUAGCAGUGAAAUGCGUAGAUAUGUGGAGGAACACCGAUGGCGAAGGCAGCCCCCUGGGUCAAGAUUGACGCUCAUGCACGAAAGCGUGGGGAGCAAACAGGAUUAGAUACCCUGGUAGUCCACGCCCUAAACGAUGUCUACUAGUUGUCGGGUCUUAAUUGACUUGGUAACGCAGCUAACGCGUGAAGUAGACCGCCUGGGGAAGUACGGUGCAAGAUUAAAACUUCAAAGAGUUAGAGGCGNGNGAGNGCGACGACGACGACGAGGAGGAGGAG
rnacentral:rRNA from 1 species